AAGAAAGGUUGGCAAACCCCUCCGAAAUAUAGAGCAUGCCAGGAGGAAAGGAUACCAAGAACUACUAUGUUACAACAAUAGCUUGACAUUGAGUUGACUCCGGAAGAACAUGUUGCGCUUUGUCAUCGAUUAACUUCUGGCACCUGUACAUAAUUUGAACUUCGACAACAAAGGUAAAUUGAACUCUGAACUGAUAGAUCCUAGCCCUCUUCUCUGGUUCUGAAUUUGAGGUCCUCCUCCAUUUCAUCUGACCUUCCAUUCAGAUGGGUUUACCUACUUAUGGGUUUUCAGGUGGAAAUUCAUUGAGCACUUGGCGAACAAAUUGUCCUUUCACCCUUGGACGCUUCUCAGCAAGUUUUUUCCUGCUUUCAUAUCGCACCUGUAAGAAGCUCAGGAGAUAAAUUAAAGAGGUGGAGGAGUAAAAAAAAACAGAGAGAGAGAGAAACUAUUCUUAAAAAGUAGCUCAAAGUAUGAAUUUGCAGACUUGUAGAAAAUCAUUAAAAAGCCAAUUCUUGUGAUCCCUCUAAACAGCAGAUACUGGAGAAACUUAUACAUGCAUUUGGCAGACUACUGUACACAACCAUCAUACAGGAAAAAAAACGGAAGACUGCCCUGCUUUCUUGAAUUUCAAGUCCUGAUCCCCACU
rnacentral:lncRNA from 1 species